CUCUGGGACAAGCCCUGGAAACGGGGUCUAAUACCGGAUACGAGCCUCCUGGGCAUCUGGGAGGUUGGAAAGCUCCGGCGGUGCAGGAUGAGCCCGCGGCCUAUCAGCUUGUUGGUGAGGUAACGGCUCACCAAGGCGACGACGGGUAGCCGGCCUGAGAGGGCGACCGGCCACACUGGGACUGAGACACGGCCCAGACUCCUACGGGAGGCAGCAGUGGGGAAUAUUGCACAAUGGGCGAAAGCCUGAUGCAGCGACGCCGCGUGAGGGAUGACGGCCUUCGGGUUGUAAACCUCUUUCAGCAGGGAAGAAGCGAGAGUGACGGUACCUGCAGAAGAAGCGCCGGCUAACUACGUGCCAGCAGCCGCGGUAAUACGUAGGGCGCAAGCGUUGUCCGGAAUUAUUGGGCGUAAAGAGCUCGUAGGCGGCUUGUCGCGUCGAUUGUGAAAGCCCGGGGCUUAACUCCGGGUCUGCAGUCGAUACGGGCAGGCUAGAGUGUGGUAGGGGAGAUCGGAAUUCCUGGUGUAGCGGUGAAAUGCGCAGAUAUCAGGAGGAACACCGGUGGCGAAGGCGGAUCUCUGGGCCAUUACUGACGCUGAGGAGCGAAAGCGUGGGGAGCGAACAGGAUUAGAUACCCUGGUAGUCCACGCCGUAAACGGUGGGCACUAGGUGUUGGCGACAUUCCACGUCGUCGGUGCCGCAGCUAACGCAUUAAGUGCCCCGCCUGGGGAGUACGGCCGCAAGGCUAAAACUCAAGGAAUUGACGGGGCGCCCGCACAAGCGGCGGAGCAUGU
rnacentral:rRNA from 1 species